UACGUAGGUGGCAAGCGUUGUCCGGAAUUAUUUGGGCGUAAAGCGCGCGCAGGCGGUCCUUUUAAGUCUGAUGUGAAAGCCCACGGCUCAACCGUGGAGGGUCAUUGGAAACUGGGGGGACUUGAGUGCAGGAGAGAAGAGUGGAAUUCCACGUGUAGCGGUGAAAUGCGUAGAGAUGUGGAGGAACACCAGUGGCGAAGGCGACUCUUUGGCCUGUAACUGACGCUGAGGCGCGAAAGCGUGGGGAGCAAACAGG
rnacentral:rRNA from 1 species